UACGUAGGGUGCAAGCGUUGUCCGGAAUUAUUGGGCGUAAAGGGCUCGUAGGCGGUUUGUCGCGUCUGCUGUGAAAACGCGAGGCUCAACCUCGCGCCUGCAGUGGGUACGGGCAGACUAGAGUGCGGUAGGGGAGAUUGGAAUUCCUGGUGUAGCGGUGGAAUGCGCAGAUAUCAGGAGGAACACCGAUGGCGAAGGCAGAUCUCUGGGCCGUUACUGACGCUGAGGAGCGAAAGCGUGGGGAGCGAACAGG
rnacentral:rRNA from 1 species